GCUUGGCAUAGUGGUGUGUGCCUAUAGUUCCAGCUACUCACUUGGGAGGCUGAGGCAGGAGGAUCGCUUGAGCCCAGGAAUUUUAGGCUGUGGUGUGCUAUGCUGAUUAGGUAUCUGCACUAAGUUUGGGAUAAAUAUGAUGACCUCCUGGGAGCAGGGGACCACUAGGUUGCCUAAUGUGCGGUGAACCAGCCCAGUCUGGAAAUGGAGCAAGUCAAAAUUCCCGUGCUGAUUAGUUGAGGGAUGGCAUCUGUGAAUAGCUAUGGCUUUCCAUCCUGGGCAACAUAGCGAGACCCUGUCU
rnacentral:SRP_RNA from 10 species